rnacentral:rRNA from 1 species
CCUACGGGUGGCAGCAGUGGGGAAUAUUGCGCAAUGGGCGAACGCCUGACGCAGCGACGCCGCGUGAGGGAUGAAGUUCUUCGGAUCGUAAACCUCUGUCAGCAGGGAAGAACGGUCACUGUGCUAAUCAGCAGUGAAUUGACGGUACCUGCAAAGGAAGCACCGGCUAACUCCGUGCAGGCUGCCGCGGUAAUAAGGAGGUUGCGAGCGUUAUACGGAUUUACUGGGCGUAAAGCUCUCGUAGGCGGUAUGUCAAGUCAAGUGUGAAAUCCCGGCGCUCAACGUGGGAACUGCAUUUGAUACUGGCAGACUGGAGUGUGGGAGAGGAUAGUGGAAGUCCAGGGGUAGGAGUGAAAGCCGUAGAUAUCUGGAGGAACAUCAGUGGCGAAGGCGACUAUCUAGCACAUAACUGACGCUGAGGAGCGAAAGCGUGGGUAGCAAACAGGAUUAGAUACCCGAGUAGUC